UGCCAUUGAGUGGGGGAUAACGUAGCGAAAGUUGCGCUAAUACCGCAUAUUCUGUGAGCAGGAAAGCAGGGGACCGCAAGGCCUUGCGCUCUUUGAGCGGCCGAUGUCAGAUUAGCUAGUUGGUGAGGUAACGGCUUACCAAGGCGACGAUCUGUAGCGGGUCUGAGAGGAUGAUCCGCCACACUGGAACUGAGACACGGUCCAGACUCCUACGGGAGGCAGCAGUGGGGAAUUUUGGACAAUGGGGGCAACCCUGAUCCAGCCAUGCCGCGUGAGUGCAGAAGGCCUCCGGGUUGUAAAGCUCUUUCGGCCGGGAAGAAAUCGCAUGGGCCAAUACCCUGUGUGGAUGACGGUACCGGAAUAAGAAGCACCGGCUAACUACGUGCCAGCAGCCGCGGUAAUACGUAGGGUGCGAGCGUUAAUCGGAAUUACUGGGCGUAAAGCGUGCGCAGGCGGUUUUGUAAGACAGGCGUGAAAUCCCCGGGCUCAACCUGGGAACUGCGUUUGUGACUGCAAGGCUAGAGUACGGCAGAGGGGGGUGGAAUUCCACGUGUAGCAGUGAAAUGCGUAGAGAUGUGGAGGAACACCAAUGGCGAAGGCAGCCCCCUGGGUCGAUACUGACGCUCAUGCACGAAAGCGUGGGUAGCAAACAGGAUUAGAUACCCUGGUAGUCCACGCCCUAAACUAUGUCAACUAGGUGUUGGGUGGGUAAAACCAUUUAGUACCGUAGCUAACGCGUGAAGUUGACCGCCUGGGGAGUACGGCCGCAAGGUUAAACUCAAAGGAAUUGACGGGGACCCGCACAAGCGGUGGAUGAUGUGGAUUAAUUCGAUGCAACGCGAAAAGCCUUACCUACCCUUGACAUGCCAGGAACUUGCCAGAGAUGGCUUGGUGCCCGAAAGGGAGCCUGGACACAGGUGCUGCAUGGCUGUCGUCAGCUCGUGUCGUGAGAUGUUGGGUUAAGUCCCGCAACGAGCGCAACCCUUGUCGUUAAUUGCCAUCAUUUAGUUGGGCACUUUAGCGAGACUGCCGGUGACAAACCGGAGGAAGGUGGGGAUGACGUCAAGUCCUCAUGGCCCUUAUGGGUAGGGCUUCACACGUCAUACAAUGGUCGGUACAAAGGGUCGCCAAGCCGCGAGGUGGAGCCAAUCCCAGAAAGCCGAUCGUAGUCCGGAUUGCAGGCUGCAACUCGCCUGCAUGAAGUCGGAAUCGCUAGUAAUCGUGGAUCAGCAUGUCACGGUGAAUACGUUCCCGGGUCUUGUACACACCGCCCGUCACACCAUGGGAGCGGGUUCCGCCAGAAGUAGGUAGCCUAACCGCAAGGAGGGCGCUUACCACGGCGGGGUUCGUGACUGGGGUGAAGUCGAAACAAGGUAGCCGUAGGGGAACCUGCGGCUG
rnacentral:rRNA from 1 species